UACGGGGGGUGCAAGCGUUAAUCGGAAUUACUGGGCGUAAAGGGUUCGUAGGCGGUUUAUUAAGUCAGAUGUGAAAGCCCAGGGCUCAACCUUGGAACUGCAUUUGAUACUGGUAGACUAGAGUAUAGUAGAGGAGUGGGGAAUUUCUGGUGUAGCGGUGAAAUGCGUAGAGAUCAGAAGGAACACCAAUGGCGAAGGCAACACUCUGGACUAAUACUGACGCUGAGGGACGAAAGCGUGGGGAUCAAACAGG
rnacentral:rRNA from 1 species